CAAGUCGUGGGGCUGCGCGGGUAGCAAUACCUGGCGGCGACCGGCAAACGGGUGCGGAACACGUACGCAACCUUCCUUUAAGCGGGGAAUAGCCCGGGGAAACUUGGAUUAAUACCCCAUAAGAUUAUGGUGUGGCAUCACACAGUAAUUAAAGCUCCGGCACUUAAAGAUGGGCGCGCGGCUGAUUAGGUAGUUGGCGGGGUAAUAGCCCACCAAGCCUACGAUCAGUAACUGGUGUGAGAGCACGACCAGUCACACGGGCACUGAGACACGGGCCCGACUCCUACGGGAGGCAGCAGUAAGGAAUAUUGGUCAAUGGACGCAAGUCUGAACCAGCCAUGCCGCGUGGAGGAUGAAGGCCCUCUGGGUUGUAAACUUCUUUUAUUUGGGAAGAAACCGGACUUUUCUAAGGCCGUUGACGGUACCAGAUGAAUAAGCACCGGCUAACUCCGUGCCAGCAGCCGCGGUAAUACGGAGGGUGCAAGCGUUAUCCGGAUUCACUGGGUUUAAAGGGUGCGUAGGUGGGCAGGUAAGUCAGUGGUGAAAUCUCUGGGCUUAACCCAGAAACUGCCGUUGAUACUAUCUGUCUUGAAUGUAGUGGAGGUGAGCGGAAUAUGUCAUGUAGCGGUGAAAUGCUUAGAUAUGACAUAGAACACCCAUUGCGAAGGCAGCUCGCUACACUAUUAUUGACACUGAGGCACGAAAGCGUGGGGAUCAAACAGGAUUAGAUACCCUGGUAGUCCACGCCCUAAACAAUGGAUACUCGACAUCAGCGAUACACUGUUGGUGUCUGAGCGAAAGCAUUAAGUAUCCCACCUGGGAAGUACGACCGCAAGGUUGAAACUCAAAGGAAUUGACGGGGGGUCCGCACAAGCGGUGGAGCAUGUGG
rnacentral:rRNA from 1 species